GAAUGCAAUGUUAUGACAGUUCCACCGCAUGAUCACAUGUGUGAUGUCAUGUGAUCACAUCUGCAACCAGGUGGAGGGAUCACCCAGGCUACCGUGUUUGAAGCCCCCCAGAAUCGCAUGUAGUGCAUGAUAAGUUCCCCUAAGGAGCCCCGUGAUGAAGCAGCAUGUUAGGCAGACAAAAAUGUUUCCCUGAAUGCCCACCGUGUUCCAGGCAUUGUGUGGAAGGGUUGCUUGGGACAUCUAUUCCAGAUGACUUCGGGAGUGUCACGCCUUACACUCCUUACCUGGGGCAGGUGAAGGCAUCCCUGCCUCACACCUUGCUUUCAAGGGACUCCGUCUGGAAGGAAGACAGAGGCAGCUGUGUGGUGGUGUUAGAAGGUGGGGCCUUUGGGAGGUGAUCAGGCCACGAGGGUGGAACCUUCCCGAAUGGGUUUCGUGUCCUUACAACGAGACCCUAGAGAAAGCCUCGUUCGUCCCACCACGUGAGCACGGAGAGGAGACAGCCGUCUGUGAACCAGGACGUGGGCCUCCACCAGACACUGAACCUGCCAGCACCUUGACCUUGGCCUCCAGCCUCCAGGACUGUGAGGACUAGAUGUCUGUGGUCUAAGCCCCCGUCUCUGGAAUUUUCGUGAGAGCAGCCUGGACAGAUGAAGGCAGCGGGUGAGGCCCUGGCAGGGAGAGAGGAGGGCAGGAAGGGGGAGGUGCGUGGUGUUUCCUAUUCUCCUCUGCAGUCCCGCUCCUGUGAGACAGGCCCACUGGCCAGCACGAGGGGCCCCGCUGCUCCUGUGGCUCCUGCCCGGGAUGGCAGCAGCUUCGUGCUGGGCUAGUCCUGACCCGCCUCACCAUCCCCUGUCUGGUUUCUCAGUUCGUCCUUCACCCAUGUGACCAAGUCCCUGUGGAUGUGGCUCCCCCUUCAGAUCCUCCGAGUGGCGUCUGCUUCUUCUUGGACCCGAUGCCGCCACCAUCUGGUUGGGCCUCAGACAAACCUGGACUCGAAUUCUCCUGUCAACAACACGCUGUGUGAACUUGGGUUAGUUGCUGUUCCUCUCUGGACUUUACUUUUCCCG
rnacentral:lncRNA from 1 species